GUGCUGCUUAAAUAGUACACAGCACUCUCUUGCUUCUAUAUUAGGAAAGACUAGAUUCCAAGAGCAAACUGGGCCCGGGGGACGUGCACUCUCUCCUUUUGAAAUGGUAGACAUGGAACCCAUUACACACUAGAAGACUGGGAAAAGAUUCUCAACCUGAUGGUUAUGAUGCUGGACCCCUUUGAUCUGACUACAUUUGAAGACUCUCACUUAUUUACGAGAGAGAAACCGCCCUCAAGCCCACUUGACUCCGGAAGAAAGAGACAAGGAAAACAGAGGCCUCACCUCAAAUCACAGUCUGUACCACACGCUUCAGUGACAGGUCCUGGCUGGGGCAGCCGGUCACAUCUUUGAUCAGAAACGGGAGAUUAAGAAAUGCCCAGGAAAGAAGAAAAGAUUGUCAGCAGACUCUGCUUGAGGAGCAGAGCCUUACCAUAAUGGACCGUGUUAAAUGUUCCCGCCACUGUUUUGCAUGAAGAAUUAUCGCCACCACAAAUCCCACAUUUAUCUUUCCGGGCCUUUGAGUUUAAAAUAUGAUCACAUCCAGCUUGCUUUUUAAAAGAAAAACAAUUGAAAUAAGUGAUGAUGAAAGUUCCAGAAGCUAGGAUGUCUAUUGUUCCCUGCUAAGCUAUUACUCUGGAAAGCUGUACUUUGAAUUAAUUUUUUAGGACCCAGCCCUGGGGAAGAGAGAAGAUGAGCUGACUUUAUCCUCAACUUAAUUCAAAACCAACUUCAUAAAUAAAAUUUGACAGGUACUUUUCACAUCCUCUGUUUCCUUUCAUCGUAGCCACCUUGAGAGAUGAGUCAUGAAAAUCUGUUUGGGUCAUGACCUCAAGUUUGGCGUUGGAAAGUGGAGUCACUCAGAGGGCUGAAUUCAGGGUCCAUCAAGCAACCCACUGUCUCUCAGAAGCAAGAGGCUUCCAGGCUUUACCCUGGAAGGGUUUGGGGCAGUUUUCCCCAGAUGACUUGACUGAUCUCAGGGGAAACACUUGUUUUGUUUUGCUUUGUUUUUAGUUCCCUAUGUAUAAAAUCAGUUAAGGGAGAAUAAAAUUCUGUCAUUGAUUUCUUAGUUCUCCUUCCAAGAAAACAGCCUGGAUAUCAUUAAAUCUACAAGGUAAAGUAGAGGCAUAGGAACUCAGAUGUUCAAAACUGUUCAAAGGGAAUAGUAAAAUAAAAUAAAAUAAAUGGGAAGACAGAGAAAAGGCAAGAAAUGAAAGGAAGGAUAAGAGUUUUGGAAAUAGUGCCCACAGAUUGCAUCCAGGCUGAGUGACACAAGCCCACGUGGACCUAGCACUAAGACUUUUCCUUCAGCAGACAGUUGGGUGUGAUGAGGAAAUGGAGGGACCACUGUCAUUGUUCAUAGGCACAUGCCAGGUGCUGAAGGUCAGAUCAAUCAUACUCCUAAGGGCACGGAGCCCUGUUAUGACUGGCCCAAACAGUGUGUUUUUGUUGAGAUAUUAACGAACUUGUUGGAAUCAUUAAAACUAAAACCAGCUCAUGAGAACCUGGGUUAAGAUAUGUCCCAGGUAGCAUCAUGGAACUAUAUAAAAGAAAACAACAUACUCGGUAAGAAGCCUGGGAAAAUAGCAAUGAAGACACCAGGCUAGCAGGGUCAUGGUGUUUCUUUGAUUCUAAUAGGCUCAACUGUAAUAGCUUUCCAGAGCCCUUCUCAGAAGAGAGAUUAAGUGGCUUAUAUGUUAAAAUUGUUUCACACCGGGUUGGGGAUUUAGCUCAGUGGUAGAGCGCUUGCCUAGGAAGCGCAAGGCCCUGGGUUCGAUCCCCAGCUCCGAAAAAAAAGAACCAAAAAAAAAAU